GUAGUUGAAUUUUAGCCYUGGCUGGGCGGUCCACCAUUGGCUGGCACUGCUCUGGCUGGGGUUCACCUUCUGGUGAGCCGGCAUGCCCUUUACUGGGUGUGCCGGGGAACCAGGACUUUUACUUUGAAAAAAUUAGAGUGUUUAAAGCAGGCCUAUGCUUGAAUACAUUAGCAUGGAAUAAUAGAAUAGGACCUCGGUUCUAUUUUGUUGGUUUCUAGGACCGAAGUAAUGAUUAAUAGGGAUAGUUGGGGGCAUUAGUAUUUAGUAGCUAGAGGUGAAAUUCUUGGAUUUAUGAAAGACUAACUUCUGCGAAAGCAUUUGCCAAGGAUGUUUUCAUUAAUCAAGAACGAAAGUUAGGGGAUCGAAGACGAUCAGAUACCGUCGUAGUCUUAACCAUAAACUAUGCCGACUAGGGAUCAGACGAUGUUAAUUUACUGACUCGUUUGGCACCUUAUGAGAAAUCAAAGUUUUUGGGUUCCGGGGGGAGUAUGGUCGCAAGGCUGAAACUUAAAGGAAUUGACGGAAGGGCACCACCAGGAGUGGAGCCUGCGGCUUAAUUUGACUCAACACGGGGAAACUCACCAGGUCCAGACAUAGUAAGGAUUGACAGAUUGAGAGCUCUUUCUUGAUUCUAUGGGUGGUGGUGCAUGGCCGUUCUUAGUUGGUGGAGUGAUUUGUCUGCUUAAUUGCGUUAACGAACGAGACCUUAACCUGCUAAAUAGUUAUGCCAACCUUUGUUGGUAGUCAACUUCUUAGAGGGACUGUCGGCGAUUAGCCGACGGAAGUUUUAGGCAAUAACAGGUCUGUUAUGCCCUUAGAUGUCCUGGGCCGCACGCGCGCUACACUGAUGAAGUCAACGAGUUUAUAACCUUGGCCGGAAGGU
rnacentral:rRNA from 1 species